AAAGAAGAGAGAGGAAGGAAGAAAAGAAAGAAGAAAAUUGAGGAAGGACACUGAAAUCGUUUCCCUUUCUGGGAUGAGUUUGUUUAUUAACCCAACCAAGAUCACAGGGGACAUUUUUCAUUGCUACAUCUGGAAGAGUUCCAAGCCUGAGUCAUGCAUGCUUAUUUAGAAACUAUAUCUAGCCUGGAUUAAGGAGCAGUUUAAAAACUGUGAUCCCGUUUUUUUAAAAAAGAAGCACAUCUAGCCACAAAGACUAGAAUAAAUGUUUGAGAGUAAAGAAUCAAAUGGA